UAUGCCACCUUGGGCAGCUGUCAAAGGUUUUAAAGUCCCCUGGGGAGAGGUGGUGGGACUCAAUCCAUUUUGGGAAAAUGAGAAAUCACUGAGCCCCCGUUUUGGAGAAGGUUUGGAACCCUCUUUGCCUGAUGGGGCCUGUUGGAGGCCCCCUUGAUCAGAAGGGCCCUGUCUAAAACUCUUAGGGGGAGAACUGGAAUUAUUGGUGACCCCUUGGGUAGAGAAUGGACUUCUGAAACCCCUUCUGGAAGAGGAGACAUGUUUGAUUUUCCUUUCAGCACAAGUGGGAGGUCUCUGGGAUGCCUGGGCAGAUGUGGAGUGGCCCAUAACCUCUUGAGUGGAUACGGAUAGUUCCUGAGCAUUUUGGGAAGAAGCGGAAGAUCCCAGAGCUCCAUGGGUAGGUGGGGACGGUUGCAGAGACCCUUGAAUAUGUGGGGAAAUUACCGGUCCACGUUGGUCAGUGGGAGAGUCGGCAGAAGAUGGCCCAGGCACUGUGUGGUCUUUGAACUUUUCACUAGCAUCUCCAGCACAGUGUCCUGAAGAUGUUGCACUUACUCUGGUGCCCGACUGGUCAAUGUCCAUAGGUUCCUCAGACACAGCAGACAUAGCCAGGCUUCUUUUCACCUUCCCAGGUAUGGGCCCGGUGGCAGGCUGUAGGGCAGAUGGUCUGGGUUUCCUGCUCAGUGGGUUACUCCUGCACUCAGGAACCUCCCGCAAAAGUGGAACUUUUCCUCCCUUGUUCUCUUUCAGCUCCUUUAUGGGCUCCAGGGUCUUCUUACUGGAUGUACUCUUUAUAAGAGCCCUAAGAUUCCUUAGGCUAUCUGCAGUGUGUGAGUCGGGAACUUUGAAUGUUUUGUCCUCAUAGGGCUUUUGGCACCUGAACUUGGUCCGAGUCAGUCGAAUCACCCCCGGAGGUGCAAAGUCCCUUGGGUCUUUGAUGCUGGUCAAGUGCUUCCCCCAUUGGGGUGAGGUGUCAUCAUCCCUUUCGGGGACACUGAAGGGGGUCCCAGGCCGGGGAGGCUGGGAAAACCUCCGUCCAUGGUCAUCAGCCCUUUCGGGGACACUGAAGGGGGUCCCAGGCCGGGGAGGCUGGGAAAACCUCCGUCCAUGGUCAUCAGCCCUUUCGGGGACACUGAAGGGGGUCCCAGGCCGGGGAGGCCGGAAAAACUGCGGUUUAUGGUCAGAGGGUAACGUCCGGGCUGAGGCUUGCUGGCCUCUCUCCAUACAUCUGGCUAUUUAGCCAAUAAGGCAGUUGAACAAGAAAAAGGGAAAUGGGAAAUUGCCCCUCUCAAGGGACAGUGAAUAUACUUGCCAUUUGGUGACUCGUGGCAAGCGGCAGCUAAGCAGUAUCCUCUGAGAGAGGCUCUCCUUUCCUGAGAACUGCGGACAUGUCCCGAAGGGCGCACAGAAUUCUAGUGACAAUUGGUCUCAGGAACCCAGCAACGCUGGAAUGGGGCCCUUGGAAUGGCUGUCCUUGGGGCUGCACGGGCCAGUCCCGAGCUGCCUCACCUGGCCAUUCUGCAUUCAGUAGUAGGGCAAACAUCCAAGCUUUCUGAAUGAGGAGGGACGCUGAAGACCCUCUCCUCUUCCUUAGGGUCAAGAGUCCUAGCUAGUCUGGUGUCCACUGUCAGCGGCCAUGACAAGGACUGUUGAAGGGGCACCAUGAUUGGGAAAGGCAAGGGGUGCUGGGAAGAAUGUGCUCUGGGUUCUCUCUUGCACCAGGACGGUACUCGCUGUCAGGACGCCGUCGGUAUUGCGAUGAGGUCUGCUCGAGCCUCAUAACUGAAUGAGAAAGGGGGAUCCAGACCCUCGCUCCUCAGAGGCUGUGCGGGCCAGCCAAUCACUGUUUGUUGUGCUAGGGAAAGAACAAGUGAUUGCGUUUGAAUGGAGGAGAGGAUGCCUGGAAUUGAUAUUACAAAUGUUAUUCUGCAUUUUAAGGAUGGCCUAUCCUGGGAUUUUCUAGGACCUAUAAUGAAGAAAAGGAGCCUGUGAGGGAUUAUCUAGAUAAGGUUAGUCUCUGGGUGUGUCUGUCAGGGAUAUUUUGACUGGCUUAACUGAGUUAGGAAGACUCAACCUAAAUGUGGGAGUCAGCAUUUCAUGGCCUGGGGUCCUGGACUGAAUUAAAAAGGAAAAGGAGACCUGAAUAGCAACAUCCAUCUCCCUCUGCUUCCUGACUGUAGAGGCACAAUUACGAGCUGUCUAAAGCCCCUGUGGCCAUGGCUCCCUGCUGUGAUAGACUGUAUCCCAGAAUGGUGAGCCAAUACAAACCCUUCAUUUCUUUUGAUGCUGUGUCAGGGUAUUUUAUUACAGAAACCAGACAAGUAACCAGCACAGAUAACCUAUCUAAUGAUGAGAAUGAGGAAUUGAAAUCAAUGAUUAGUGUUGUAAGAGGACCUAAAGGACUUUUUCUUUAGUGUUUAUUAUGUGAAAUUGAGAGCCCCAAGAUUUGAUAUCUAUAUGUUUAUAAUAGUUACAUAUACUUGGUGGAUUAGUAAAAGUUCACUUUACUAAAAUUUAUCUACUGUCUUUACCUAUUCUCGCUAAUUUUGAUUUGAAGUCUACUCUAUCAUAUACCAAAAUAGCUGUGUCUGCUUGCUCUCCAUAUCCACUCAGUUGGUAGCUCGUCUUCUAUCCUUUCGGUCCUUGUCUAUAAGUGAUUACACCAGUGAGUUGUAUCUCUUUUACACAUUUAUUUAAAUUUUUUUCAUUUUACAUACCAACCCCAGUUCCCCCUCCCUCCUCUUCUCCUGUCCUCCCCACCUGUCCUGAUCCCACCUCCCAUCUAUUUCUUUGAGACAACAGGAUAGUUGAUUCUAGUUUCAAUUCCAUCAGCUAGUCUUCAUCUCUUUAUUGGUGAUUUAAAGUCAUUUAUAUUUAAAGUUAUUAUUAAGAGAUGUUUAAUAGUUCUUGUGAUUUUGUUGAUUUCUUUUUAGAUUUUUAGAUUAUUGUUUGCUGUUUCUUUUUAUCUCAUCAUUGGGGGUUUACUGCUUUCCUGCGUUGUACUUAUGGGUUUCUUCAUGGUUCUUCCUUGUUCAUGUACUCCUCCAAUAAAAUUAUUAUUUCUUCAUGAUUAAAACUGUCACCAUCCUCUGUGUGUUUGUCUUGAAUGUCCUUAUUAACUUUGUAAGUAAUAAAAGAUAUCUCUUCUUGUUGGUAAUCACUCACUUUAAGAACUUCAAAGGUGCCGGGCGGUGGUGGCGCACGCCUUUAAUCCCAGCACUCGGGAGGCAGAGGCAGGCAGAUCUCUGUGAGUUCGAGGCCAGCCUGGGCUACCAAGUGAGUCCCAGGAAAGGCGCAAAGCUACACAGAGAAACCCUGCCUCGAAAAACAAAACAAAACAAAAAAAAAAAAAAAAAAAAGAACUUCAAAGGUGAUAUUCUGUGCUUUUCUGGCUGUAAAGGGCUCCAGUGAGAGAUUUGGUGUUACUGGGAUGUUUGUCUUUGUAUUUGUGUUUUGUUCUGUUUUCUACUCUACAGCUCUUGAUAUUCUCCUUGAUUGUAUUUUUGAAGUCUUGAGCAUGCUAUGCGAUGGAGAGGUUCUUCUCUGUUCAUAUCUUCUUGGAAUUCUAAAUGCAUCUUGUAUUUGAAUCUUCAUUUCUUUCUCUAAACCUCAUAAAUGUCUGUUUUAAUUUCAUUGACUACAUUCUUAGUACCUUUAGUUUUUAAUCUCAGCUUCUUCUUCUUUUAAUACUUGGAUACUUAAGGUUUUGUUUAUCUUUUAAAAAAUUUAUUUAUUUCUGUAUUUGACAUCCUGGCCACAAUUUCCCUUCCCUCCUCUCAGUUCUCCCCCAUUCUGUUCCCACUGCCCAGUCCCCUCCCCCUCUGUUUCUGUCCAGGAAAGCACAGGUCUCCAUGAGUGUCAACAAAACAUGGCAUACCAAGUUGCAAUAAGACCAAGCACCUCUCCAUGUAUUAAGGCUGGACAAGGCAACCCAAUAUGAGGAGUAGUUAGUUCCCCAAAAGCCAGUAAAAAGUUGGAGAUGUCCCCUGUUCCCACUGUUAGGAGUCCCACAAGAGGACCAAGCUACAUAACUGUAACAUGUAUGCAGAGGGCCUAGGUCAGUCCCAUGCAGGCUCCCUGGUUGUGGGUUCAGUCUCUGUGAGCCCCUAUGAGCCCAAGUUAGUUGAUUCUGUGAGUUUUCUUAUUGUAUGCUUGACCCCUCUGGCUCCUACAAUCCUUUCUCCCCCUCUUCUGCAGGAUUCCCCGAGCUCCACCUCAUAUUUGUCUGAAUCUGGUUCUAUCAGUUGCUGGAUGAAGCCUCUCUGAUGACAAUUGGACUAGGCACCAAUCUGGUUACAGGAGAUGACCAGUUCAGGCCACAUAUUCCCUAUUGCUAGGAGUCUUACCUGGGGUCACCCUUGCAGAUUCCUGAAAAAUUCCCUGUGCCAGGUUUUUACCUGACCAGGAAAUGCCUCCCCUUUCUAGUAGUCUCUUUCAAUACUCUCCCCUCCCCCACAACCUGAUUGCUGGGGUUCACUUCACCACCUGCCCUCAGUCCACUCACAAAGUAUCUUCUAUUUCUCCUUCCUAGGGAGAUCUGGAUGCCCCUCCCCGCACCACCCCAUGAACCCUCCUUUUUAUUUAGUCUCUCUGGGUCUGUGGAUUGUAGCAUUGUUACCUGUUCAGGAAUAUUACUUUAACCGGGCAAAGAUAUGUUACAUUUGUUUCUGCUGCCUUUGUUAACAAUAUGAAGAUGUGUUACAUUUGUUUAUGUUGCAUUUGUUUAAUUAUGUAAAGAUGUAUUGCUGUUUGACCUUGCCUGCCUAAGGCAUCUGAUCAAUCUAGUAAAAAACUAGGAAUUUAUUGUUAAUUGUCUAAUGGAAAUCUUGAGUUCUCCAGACAGUGGCCCUCUUCAUCUAGGUCUCCAGCAAACAGCAUUUCCUUUUGUUUUCUCAAGUUUGAUAUUUAUUUAGGCUCCAAAUAUAAAUGAGAACAUGUAA